UACGAGGGGGGCUAGCGUUGCUCGGAAUCACUGGGCGUAAAGCGCACGUAGGCGGAUCUUUAAGUCAGGGGUGAAAUCCCAAGGCUCAACCUUGGAACUGCCCUUGAUACUGGGGAUCUCGAGUCCGGAAGAGGUUGGUGGAACUCCGAGUGUAGAGGUGAAAUUCGUAGAUAUUCGGAAGAACACCAGUGGCGAAGGCGGCCAACUGGUCCGGCACUGACGCUGAGGUGCGAAAGCGUGGGGAGCAAACAGG
rnacentral:rRNA from 1 species